rnacentral:rRNA from 1 species
CCUACGGGAGGCAGCAGUGAGGAAUAUUGGUCAAUGGGCUUACGCCUGAACCAGCCAAGUCGCGUGAGGGAAGACUGCCCUAUGGGUUGUAAACCUCUUUUGUCAGGGAGCAAUUGGCGCUACGUGUAGCGUUAUCGAGAGUACCUGAAGAAAAAGCAUCGGCUAACUCCGUGCCAGCAGCCGCGGUAAUACGGAGGAUGCGAGCGUUAUCCGGAUUGAUUGGGGUGAAAGGGUGCGUAGGCGGAAUGCCAAGUCAGCGGUAAAAUCGCGGGGCUCAACCUCGCUCCGCCGUUGAAACUGGCGUUCUUGAGUGGGUGAGAAGUAUGCGGAAUGCGUGGUGUAGCGGUGAAAUGCAUAGAUAUCACGCAGAACUCCGAUUGCGAAGGCAGCAUACCGGCGCCCAACUGACGCUGAAGCACGAAAGCGUGGGUAUCGAACAGGAUUAGAUACCCUAGUAGUC